AACGAACGCUGGCGGCAGGCUUAACACAUGCGAGUCGAGCGCCCCGCCAGGGGAGCGGCAGACGGGUGAGUAACGCGUGGGAACGUACCUUUUGGUUCGGAACAACUCCGGGAAACUGGAGCUAAUACCGGAUAAGCCCUAACGGGGAAAGAUUUAUCGCCGAAAGAUCGGCCCGCGUCUGAUUAGCUAGUUGGUGAGGUAACGGCUCACCAAGGCGACGAUCAGUAGCUGGUCUGAGAGGAUGAUCAGCCACACUGAGACUGAGACACGGCCCAGACUCCUACGGGAGGCAGCAGUGGGGAAUAUUGGACAAUGGGCGCAAGCCUGAUCCAGCCAUGCCGCGUGAGUGAUGAAGGCCUUAGGGUUGUAAAGCUCUUUUGUCCGGGAAGAUAAUGACUGUACCGGAAGAAUAAGCCCCGGCUAACUUCGUG
rnacentral:rRNA from 1 species